UGAGCUAUGGUGUAAUGGUAACAUGACAGAUUCUGGUCCUGUUGUUCAAGGUUCGAGUCCUUGUAGCUCAA
rnacentral:tRNA from 1 species